rnacentral:misc_RNA from 1 species
GUUCAUAGCAGGUUCAAACCAUUAGGGGAUGGAGUUGCUUUGUCAAAUCAUGGAGGUGGGCUGAAUUCUUUGUUGCAGGGGAACCGCCCUUCGAAUAAGGAGAUAUGUAAUAACUCCGAUGAGCACUCGUUUUUCCCGUCUGAGCUUCCGGCGAGACCGAGAACAGAGGUGAAAUCGGGGAAUUCGAUUGGAAGGGGAUCAGAAAAUUUGAAGGGGGUAGAGGGUAUUGGUAGGCCGG